GCGGAGGAAAAGAAAAUAACAAUGAUUUCCCUAGUAACGGCGAGUGAAGAGGAAAGAGCUCAAAGUUGGAAACUGUUUGGCUUAGCUAAACCGUAUUGUAAACUGUAGAAACAUUUUCCUGGCACGCCGGAUUAAUAAGUCCUUUGGAACAAGGCAUCAUGGAGGGUGAGAAUCCCGUCUUUGAUCCGAGUAGUUGUCUUUUGUGAUAUGUUUUCAAAGAGUCAGGUUGUUUGGGAAUGCAGCCUAAAUUGGGUGGUAAAUCUCACCUAAAGCUAAAUAUUUGCGAGAGACCGAUAGCGAACAAGUACCGUGAGGGAAAGAUGAAAAGAACUUUGAAAAGAGAGUUAAACAGUAUGUGAAAUUGUUAAAAGGGAACCGUUUGGAGCCAGACUGGUUUGACUGUAAUCAACCUAGAAUUCGUUCUGGGUGCACUUGCAGUCUAUACCUGCCAACAACAGUUUGAUUUGGAGGAAAAAAUUAGYAGGAAUGUAGCCUCUCGAGGUGUUAUAGCCURCUAUCAUACUCUGGAUUGGACUGAGGAACGCAGCGAAUGCCWUUAGGCGAGAUUGCUGGGUGCUUUCGCUAAUAAAUGUUAGAAUUUCUGCUUCGGGUGGUGCUAAUGUUUAAAGGAGGAACACAUCUAGUAUAUUUUUUAUUCGCUUAGGUUGUUGGCUUAAUGACUCUAA
rnacentral:rRNA from 1 species